GCUCCCACACCUGCCUCAGUUAGUGUUGUCACCACUGCCUCCAUAUUUCUUCCGUAAGUUGAUGUGGCCUGGUUCAAGCCUUUAACACUCCCCACAUCAACUAGAGUAAUGUCUUUUAAUAUAUGGCCUAAAUACCUUGGAGAUCAAGGAAGCUACAAUUACAGUGAUCUCUUGAUCAAAGGUUUGGAAAGAAUGUGAUGGACAAAACAGAGAGGCAUGACACAUAAAGCUGAAUGGUGAGAAUGAGAGAAAUACACGAUUUAGGCAAUUCGUGUGGGGAAAAAGAGGAACACACUGAGGAUUAACGACCUGGGAAAUUUCCUCUCCUGAAAUGAUUUGAUUACAAUGAGGUAAGAAAACCAAAGUUUGAUGAGAUCAAGAACUGCUUCAAGAUUCUGAUCUGAUAAGCACUGUUGUGGGAUGUGGAUUCCAGUCCUUUGAAGCCAAAUCUAGUGUGUGCCUCAAUGA